CUCUCUCUCUCUCUGUGCUCCACCCCUCCCUGAGUGGCUGCUUGGCUAAGAACAGGCUCAGGCUGAUGGCGCUGAGCUGUGCUGGAACAUGUCUUGACUUGUACCGGCUUGCCUGGAGAGAGUGUGCAAGGCUUGUGGUCACCCGCCUGGACAGCUGGGUGCUUCUCACUGACCUCUCACAGGCAGCAGGCACAACAGGGAUAGAAAGUGAGGUGGACAAGAGUGAACUGGACCAGGGAUCGGACUAUGACCCAGAGAGCCAGGCUCAUCUCUGCUGGACUGGUGGAAGUUCUUCCUGUAUUCCAAGUCUCCCCCUCCCCCUCCUAAAUAUCUUGCAAGUAAUGCUUUGAUCAUAGAGGGACCAUGAAGCCACUGACCACAAUCAGGUCUGUCUGUCUCUCCUGGGUGAUAGCUGUGGGCUUGACUGUGGACUGGAGUCCUCAGGGCAGUUUAAGUGAAUUGAGAACAAGCAUCCUCUGAUCCCACACACAGUCAACAAGGCCAGUGUUAUCACAUACACCAUGUGCCACCCAGUAAAAUGGAGGAAAGUCAACAUGUCUGUCCUCAAUGUCUACAUAACAUGAGAUAUGACGGACACUUAUCAGGGAACAAAGCUGAACAAUCCUUCAAUAAGCAUGUGGGUAAAAAGCAUGGAGAGUUUGGGAUUACUCUCAGUUGUUUCCCCAUUUGCGCUAUUCUGUCUUCUGCCCACCACAAGCACGCGGGCCAAACUCAGUGGGGAGGCGUUUGCCAAGCAGAGGACAGACCGACCUGAGGACGAGGAUGAGGACAGACCUGAGGACGAGGAUGAGGACAGACAGGAAGGAUGGCGCCCAUCGGCUGCUGUGAGUGUUUCUCUGGCAGUGUCUUAGCUGGUUGUUGUGAGGAGUGAGAACGAAGCAAUCAGCAAGUAUACUGCCGCAGAAACUCUUUACAUUAAGAGCCCCCAUCCCCCCUGAAUGCCACUCCGGCUACUCCACUGUUGCCUGAGCAGAGUGUCUCUCGACUCCCCCAUACACCCCCAUCACGCAGCCCCAGCCAGGGAAGAGUGCGGUAGAGUGUGGUAUGUAUCUAUCUCCUGCUUCUGGCAGUAACUCCAUUUGACACAAACAAAAGUGAGUCGUUAAGGAAUUAUUACAGUAGACACAGGAUGAUUGCAGUAAUGAUACAAUAAAGCACCACCAUCUGUUUUCUUAUAAAUGUGGUGUGGUUGGUUGUUGAAAUGUGUCGAUCAGUAAACAUGUUGUGUUAGUUAAGAUCAUCUCUCAGUUUCCCAUUUGACUGUCUGCUUUUGUUGGUUUGUUAAACGACAGUUACCAUUGGCAGCACAGUCUGACCUUUAAGGCCCUCAGUAGGAGAAGACACACAUAGCGGUGUAGCUAGACACAAACAUCAUGAGUGCGAUUAUGUCCUAUGGCUCUUUAUGAUCACAUGCUGAUUGGUGACACAUUUUUGUAUUUCAAAUUAAAAAAAAAAUAGCAAACGUU